UACGGAGGGUGCGAGCGUUGUCCGGAAUCACUGGGCGUAAAGGGCGCGUAGGUGGCCCGUUAAGUGGCUGGUGAAAUCCCGCGGCUCAACUGCGGGGCUGCCGGUCAUACUGGCGAGCUAGAGCACGGUAGGGGCAGAUGGAAUUCCCGGUGUAGCGGUGGAAUGCGUAGAGAUCGGGAAGAAUACCAGUGGCGAAGGCGACUACCUGGCCUGUUCUUGACGCUGAGGCGCGAAAGCUAGGGGAGCAAACGGG
rnacentral:rRNA from 1 species